UACGUAGGGACCGAGCGUUGUCCGGAUUCAUUGGGCGUAAAGAGCUCGUAGGCGGCCACUCAAGUCGAAUGUGAAACCUCGAGGCUUAACCUCGAGCCUGCAUUCGAUACUGGGCGGCUAGAGUCUGGUAGGGGGAUCUGGAAUUCCUGGUGUAGCGGUGAAAUGCGUAGAUAUGUGGAAGAACACCAGUGGCGAAGGCGGUUUUCUAGCUUACACCUGACGCUGAGGCGCGAAAGCAAGGGGAGCAAACAGG
rnacentral:rRNA from 1 species